rnacentral:lncRNA from 1 species
AGUUUGAUCAUUCCAAUUAAUCUUAGGCAUUUUAGGAAUUCUCCUCAACUACCCAACCCAACUCUAUCACUUUAUGGCAGUCUGUAAACAGAACAAGGCAGUGUGGGGGAAAAGAAGAGGUGGGAUGGAGGGACUUGAGAAAUGGUCUCAGAGGCCAGUAGGGAAUGGGGGGAAAGCAUCCAGGCCCUCGGCAGGGAACCAAUGUCAAAAACUAGUCAAGCUGUGCUCGAGCUUCAACUAGGUUGUGCAGUCUGCCUACUAUGGAAGCAAUUUUCUCUCCUAUCCCAAGUGUCAGAGCAGCUGGAAGUUCAUGGCAACAGUGCACAGCACCAUGACCCUGUGGCACACUUAACUGUCCCAUAAGAACUAGGAACCAUCUAACUAUGCGAAACUAGCGCCCUAUGCAGGCAAUCCAGAAUUCUAUCCCGAGCAAGCAUGCCUGGGACAAAGUAAGCUGUCAAACUAGCACCACGAGUGUUUCGAGUCUUUCUGUCAAUGCUAUUUUGCUACUCCUUCAUUCAUGUUGUUGUCUGCUCUGUGCCUUAGCAAAAGGUGCCAAAAUUA